rnacentral:lncRNA from 1 species
AUUGGAUAUACUACAUGCAUGGAAGCUGGCAUUCAUGGAGUUGAACAAUGUCGAUGGAUGAACUUUAUAUGUAUAUCAUAUAGUUUUCAUUUGAGUUGAUGAACAAUGUCGAACUAUAUGUAUAUGUAUAUAUGGAUAAACAGUGCAAUACUUGGUAUGUUUGUUCUUUGGAUAUAUGGGGAUGCACAUUGGUGAAUCAUAUAUGUGUGGUGAAUUAUAGAUAUGUG